rnacentral:lncRNA from 1 species
UCAAGUCUCAGUGUCCUCUCCACCUCAUCUUUCUCCUCUUCUAACUUGUUUAGCUUCUUUUCCAGCUCAGCUUUAUCACUAACUUUAGCUUCAAGGUCAAGUCUCAGUGUCCUUUCAAGCUCAUCUUUCUCCGCUUCUAACUUGUUUAGAUUCUUUUCCAGCUCAGCUUUAUCACUAACUUUAGCUUCAAGGUCAAGUCUCAGUGUCCUUUCAAGCUCAUCUUUCUCCGCUUCUAACUUGUUUAGAUUCUUUUCCAGCUCAGCUUUAUCACUAACUUUAGCUUCAAGGUCAAGUCUCAGUGUCCUUUCAAGCUCAUCUUUCUCCGCUUCUAACUUGUUUAGAUUCUUUUCCAGCUCAGCUUUAUCACUAACUUUAGCUUCAAGGUCAAGUCUCAAAGUGCUCAUCACUUCUCUAUCACUUUUAACUUUACUUUCAAGCUCUUCUCUCUCUGCUUCUAACUUCUCCAAGUUACUUUCCAGCUU